CGUGUAGGCGGAUCGGAAAGUCGGGCGUGAAAUCCCCAGGCUCAACCUGGGAACUGCACUCGAAACUCCCGGUCUUGAGUGGUGGAGAGGGAAGUGGAAUUCCUGGUGUAGAGGUGAAAUUCGUAGAUAUCAGGAGGAACACAAGUGGCGAAGGCGGCUUCCUGGACACCAACUGACGCUGAGACGCGAAAGCGUGGGGGAGAAAC
rnacentral:rRNA from 1 species